rnacentral:rRNA from 1 species
CCAGACUCCUACGGGAGGCAGCAGUAGGGAAUCUUCGGCAAUGGACGAAAGUCUGACCGAGCAACGCCGCGUGAGUGAAGAAGGUUUUCGGAUCGUAAAGCUCUGUUGUAAGAGAAGAACGGGUGUGAGAGUGGAAAGUUCACACUGUGACAGUAUCUUACCAGGAAGGGACGGCUAACUACGUGCCAGCAGCCGCGGUAAUACGUAGGUCCCGAGCGUUGUCCGGAUUUAUUGGGCGUAAAGCGAGCGCAGGCGGUUAGAUAAGUCUGAAGUUAAAGGCUGUGGCUUAACCAUAGUACGCUUUGGAAACUGUUUAACUUGAGUGCAGAAGGGGAGAGUGGAAUUCCAUGUGUAGCGGUGAAAUGCGUAGAUAUAUGGAGGAACACCGGUGGCGAAAGCGGCUCUCUGGUCUGUAACUGACGCUGAGGCUCGAAAGCGUGGGGAGCGAACAGGAUUAGAUACCCUGGUAGUCCACGCCGUAAACGAUGAGUGCUAGGUGUUAGGCCCUUUCCGGGGCUUAGUGCCGCAGCUAACGCAUUAAGCACUCCGCCUGGGGAGUACGACCGCAAGGUUGAAACUCAAAGGAAUUGACGGGGGCCCCGCACAAGAU